rnacentral:lncRNA from 1 species
GCAACUCAAAGCUCUUUAGUGAGGCAACAACCUCCUGCACCUCAAUCUCAUUCAGAUCUCUAGAAUGUUCAAUAACUGAACAGAUAGAGUCAUAGGUAGAUGGCAGACUAAUAAGCAGUUUUUGAACAAUUCUCUCCCUAGGCAAUUCCUCCCCAUAACUUCUCAUUUGAUUAAUUAAAUCAAAUAGUUUAGUAACAUAGACAGUUAAGGAUUCAUCAUCCUUCAUUCUUGUAUAUUCAAAUUCUCUUCUAAGACCUUGCAAUUUAACACUCCUUACCUGCUUAUCUCCAUGGAAUUCUUGCUGCAGAAUACUCCAGGCACCUUUUGAUGUCUCUUCAUGAGAGAUUCGUGGGAAUAUCUCUUCUGAAACUGCUCCUUGAAUCAAUCCAAGAGCCUUAGCAUCCUUCAUGAGUACCUCAGCAACCAUGCCUUUCCCACUUGAUUCUUCUGUCUCCUUUUUCUUAUCAUCAGAUUCAUCUGACUUCUUCAGAUCCAUACCAUCAAGUCCUUUGAUCACCAAAUCCCACAGUCCAUGAGAUUUGAAGAUGGUCUUCAUCCUUAUGCUCCAGAAAUCGUAGUUCUCACCAUUGAAAAUUGGUGCUCUCAAUUCACCACCACUUGAC